rnacentral:rRNA from 1 species
UACGUAGGGUGCGAGCGUUAAUCGGAAUUACUGGGCGUAAAGCGUGCGUAGGCGGUUCGCUGUGUCCGAUGUGAAAGCCCCGGGCUUAACCUGGGAAUGGCAUUGGAAACUGGCGGGCUUGAGUGUGGCAGAGGGGGGUGGAAUUCCGCGUGUAGCAGUGAAAUGCGUAGAGAUGCGGAGGAACACCCAGGGGGAAACCAGUCGACUGGGCAGCACCUGACGCUGAGGUGCGAGAGCGUGGGGAGCGAACCGG